UACGGGGGGGGCAAGCGUUGUUCGGAAUUACUGGGCGUAAAGGGCUCUUAGGCGGCCAACUAAGUCAUACGUGAAAUCCCUCGGCUUAACCGGGGAACUGCGUCUGAUACUGGAUGGCUUGAGUUCGGGAGAGGGAUGCGGAAUUCCAGGUGUAGCGGUGAAAUGCGUAGAUAUCUGGAGGAACACCGGUGGCGAAGGCGGCAUCCUGGACCAACGCUGACGCUGAGGAGCGAAAGCCAGGGGAGCAAACGGG
rnacentral:rRNA from 1 species